rnacentral:rRNA from 1 species
AACGAACGCUGGCGGCAUGCCUAACACAUGCAAGUCGAACGAGAACUUCGGGUCUAGUGUCGCACGGGUGCGUAACGCGUGGGAAUCUGCCCUUGGGUUCGGAAUAACUCAGAGAAAGGGGUGCUAAUACCGGAUGAUGUCUAAAGACCAAAGAUUUAUCGCCCCGGGAUGAGCCCGCGUGGGAUUAGCUAGUUGGUGGGGUAAAGGCCUACCAAGGCGACGAUCCUUAGCUGGUCUGAGAGGAUGAUCAGCCACACUGGGACUGAGACACGGCCCAGACUCCUACGGGAGGCAGCAGUGGGGAAUAUUGGACAAUGGGCGAAAGCCUGAUCCAGCAAUGCCGCGUGAGUGAUGAAGGCCUUAGGGUUGUAAAGCUCUUUUACCCGGGAUGAUAAUGACAGUACCGGGAGAAUAAGCCCCGGCUAACUCCGUG